UUUUUUUUCUUUUAAUGCUGCUGAAGUCUGAAUCCAGGGCCUGCUGCAGGCUAACUUCUGUAUCGUUGAGCCACACCUCAGGCAGCUUACUUUUAAGUAAACUGCUGACAUUUUAAAAAGCCAAUGCAAGUCUUACAGCUGUGGUUGAGCUGAGAAAGAAGGGCCCCUUUGGUGAUCCACCUGUGUCAGCACCUUCAGAUAAUAGGGUGUUCUCACUGAGCCAUAAAUUUGGGAUUCAGAGAUCCUUCACUCUGCUUCAACUUGGGGAACAUCUCUUCAAUUGUCCUUCUUCCUGGAUUGGUGCUGAAGCCUUCUUCAUUAGUCUCUGCCUAUGUCAGCCCACUACUCAUGUCAUGUACUGUCCCCGGGUCUGCUGUGCUUGGACCUUGAAUGUCUUCAGAGGCAGUCUGUUGGAGGUGUGGCCCCAGCCCAUAGUACUAUUGGGAAAUGGGGAAACAUUUGGAGGUGGGCCUAGAGGGAGAUUUUAGGUCACCGGGGGUGGGUCCUUGGAGAGAAUGGGGACCCAAACCCUCCUCCUCUGCGUCCCAGACAGCAUGAGAGGAGCAGCUCUGCGUGCAUACCCACCAUGACAUGCUUCAUCACCAGAGGCUCAGAAGCAGCAGAGCCCGGGCCAUGGACUGAAGUCUCUGAUACCACGGGAACAUAUGAUUUAACUUGAUGUGCAUCAGGUAUUUUGUCUCGGUAAUGGACAGAUGGCUAACAGAAGGUCUGACAUCUCCUGCAGCAGUCAGUGAAUCCAUUCCCCCCUGCUCUGGCUUUUGUCCAGGACCUCAGGAUCAAGACGGAGCUGCUCAGCUUGGCACCUGAUGUCCUUCACCCUCCACAUGCAUGGCCGGCCCGGAGUGGUGUGCAGCACCUCUUCACCAUGCUCCUGGUUACCCUGCCCACCCCUUACCCCUCCACAGAGUCCACAGCUGGCACUUGCUAGACACACCCUGGCUUUCCUGCAGCCGUCUCCCCAGGUCCUCACCACCUCUUCCACAAGCCUUUGUGUGCCUUCCCCUUGCCUUUGUGCUGGUCAAGAGCCUUUCCCUCAGACAACUGGCAUUUGUUUGUAGCCUAGCAUGAGGCCCGUCCUGAAGAGUGUCUUGUGCCCCUGAGUAAGGUGUGCCUUUGGCUUUGCUGGGUGGGAGCUCUAGGGUGUCUGCUAUGAGCCUCGCCAGUUUAUUCUGCUGCUCAAGAAAUAACUUAUAAAGAUAAAAGGUUUAUUUUGGCUUACAGUCUUGGAGGCUCUUGUUCAUGAUCAAGCAGCCCAAUUGCUUUGAGGCUGUGACAAGGCAGUACUUCAUGGCAGGAGCCUGUGGUGGAGUGAGUUGCUCACCUUGGCAGUGAAGCAAAAGAAAAAGAGAGAGAGCCUAGGGCCCCACUAUUCCCUCCAAGGGCACAGCCUCAAUGACCUAAAGACCCCUCAACUCUCAAAGGCUCCACUACCUCCCAUAGAAUCACCGUAGGGCAAAGCCUCCCACUCCAGGGCUUUUAGGGGACAUUCGGCUCCAUAGCAUUC
rnacentral:lncRNA from 1 species